rnacentral:lncRNA from 1 species
GAAGCCAUCUCUUUUUCUACGUCGACUUUGAAAUAUAUUGCACACUAAGAUUUGACUACUAAAUAUAUGGUACUUUAUCACCCCCUCUUGUUUCUUCUCCAAGCACGCAUUGCACCCUGUCGGUUGCUAGUUUUUCUAAAAGGAAAGUAAAACUACAUUCUCAAAUUCUACCAUGCAUGAUUGCAGUAUGCAUUAAAGGAAAUUAUUUAUCUUCAAACUUUUUUUUUGGUAGAAAAUUUAUCUUCAAACUUUGACCACCAAUCCUAGAGCAGUCUAGUACUCAGGUGC